rnacentral:rRNA from 1 species
AAAACGGCUACCACAUCCAAGGAAGGCAGCAGGCACGCAAAUUACCCAAUCCCAGAACGGGGAGGUAGUGACGAAAAAUAACAAUACGGGACUCUUAUGAGGCCCCGUAAUUGGAAUGAGAACAAUCUAAAUCCUUUAACGAGGAUCUAUUGGAGGGCAAGUCUGGUGCCAGCAGCCGCGGUAAUUCCAGCUCCAAUAGCGUAUAUUAAAGUUGUUGUGGUUAAAAAGCUCGUAGUUGGAUCUCAGUUCGAGUCAGGCGGUCCACUUGCCAGUGGCUACUGCCUGACUGAACACUUUACCGAGUUGUCCUAUGGUGUUCUUCACCGAGCGUCAUAGGCGAUCGGUACGUUUACUUUGAAAAAAUUAGAGUGCUCAAAGCAGGCGUAACGCCCGAAUAAUGUUGCAUGGAAUAAUGGAAUAGGACCUCGGUUCUAUUUUGUUGGUCUUCGGAAUCAGAGGUAAUGAUCAAUAGGGACAGACGGGGACAUUCGUAUUGCGGCGCUAGAGGUGAAAUUCUUGGACCGUCGCAAGACGAACUAAAGCGAAAGCAUUUGUCAAGAAUGUUUUCAUUAAUCAAGAACGAAAGUUAGAGGUUCGAAGGCGAUCAGAUACCGCCCUAGUUCUAACCAUAAACGAUGCCAACCAGUAAUUCGUCUGAGUUCCUUAAAUGACUCGACGAGGGACUUCCGGGAAACCAAAGUCUUUCGGUUCCAGGGGAAGUAUGGUUGCAAAGCUGAAACUUAAAGAAAUUGACGGAAGGGCACCACCAGGAGUGGAGCCUGCGGCUUAAUUUGACCCAACACGGGAAAACUCACCCGGCCCGGACACUGGAAGGAUUGACAGAUUGAGAGCUCUUUCUUGAUUCAGUGGGUGGUGGUGCAUGGCCGUUCUUAGUUGGUGGAGUGAUUUGUCUGGUUAAUUCCGAUAACGAACGAGACUCUAGCCUACUAAAUAGAUCGUCGGCUUACAAACGCCGGCGAGACUUCUUAGAGGGACAGGCGGUGAUUCAACCGCACGAAACAGAGCAAUAACAGGUCUGUGAUGCCCUUAGAUGUCCGGGGCCGCACGCGCGCUACACUGAAGUGAUCAGCGUGCUUUUUCAACCUACUCUGUCAAGAGUGGGGAACCCAAUGAACCUUCUUCGUGAUUGGGAUAGGGGAUUGUAAUUAUUCCCCUUGAACGAGGAAUUCCCAGUAAGCGCGAGUCAUAAGCUCGCGUUGAUUACGUCCCUGCCCUUUGUACACACCGCCCGUCGCUACUACCGAUUGAAUGUUUUAGUGAGGUCUUCGGACUGGCCGGCGCAGCACUCUCGUAGUGCAGCGCUGUGUUUGGAAAGAUGCCCAAACUUGAACAUUUAGAGGAAGUAAAAGUCGUAACAAGGUU